AAAAGGAAGGUCCGGACCCCGAAGACCACGAAGUAGGCCAGCAGGAACAUGCAGCCCGAGGCGAAGUACCACAACACCGCGAGGGGCUGGACGGUGUCCAUGAAGAAGUACGGCCAGAUUACCGGCCCGUCCGUGCGCGCGCCGAAC
rnacentral:ribozyme from 14 species